GACUCACGCGGGAAUCUUACCGGGUCCGGACACACUGAGGAUUGACAGGUUAUGGGGCGGGUUGAAUUUYAAUCUCUUCGGGGAUUAAUUUUCUCCCACCUCAAAAAUAUGCUAGUCCUUUCAUGAUUAUGUGAUAGGUGGKGCAUGGSCGUUCUUAGUUCGUGGAGUGAUCUGUCUGCUUAAUUGCGUUUCACUAAAGGCGUCAUUAAUUUUUUGUGCCUGUGUUUGACCCCGCACUUCGGUGCGCGCGCGUCUUUCACACACAAUUACUUUGACGUCUGAAAGCAACGAACGUGACCGUAACCUCUUGUUGCCUUCUCUUCUCUUCGGAGAAUGCUGCUUUAUACCUUCACGGGUG
rnacentral:rRNA from 1 species